rnacentral:lncRNA from 1 species
CUUGUUAGUGCACACAUGCUUUCCUGGAUAAUUUGACCUUUUAUCUCUAUGGGAAUCGUUAGGUCACAGCUGGAACCACUGAUGGAGCACCUGGUGAAAGGGUGUAGCCAGCUCUGGGAAAACAGGUGGAAGCAAUUCCUCCUAACCUCAUAUAAUGGCUGGCAGCUGGGAAAAAUUUCUACUUUGAGAUUGUCUCCUUUGGAGUGUUUGGUGGUGCUUGAUCCUUGGAAUGGGAUAUGUUGGAGCCAGAAUUUUUAAAAUCCUCUUACCUCCAUGUUGGAUCUUGGUCUCCCACAAGGGUGGUGCCAUCUUUUGUUGUAGUGCCCGAGGAGCCUGAGAGCAACAGGAAUGCUGUGGCAGGAUCUGCUGUGGGAUGAGUUUGAUAGAUCAGAACAGUACAGCCACAAGCCAAACAAAUCAAGGUCUCUAGACUCUUUUCCACUGCUGUACUAUGCAAGUGUUUCAACUUUGAGCAUUAGCACUAUGUUGGACUCAUUCUGUCAGCACAACAAUUUCACCUCAGGAAACAACAAGGAGGAGUUUUCCAUUCCGUGGAAGGUUUGGCUUUUGCUUCUGUUCUUUGUAGUUGAUUUGCCUUCCUUGAUAAGUGAUUUACUACCUCACCUAAGGAUUAUAGUCCAGCCACCUUUUUUGCAACAGCAGGAUUAAAGUGCAUUGACAACAUUAUAGCAUUUUCAUCUCUCUUUUGGAACGAGCAUGUUUCUGGUCUAGUGGCUUUGUUUUUGUGUUUGAGUUCUUAUGUGUACGAGAAGGCUUUUAGAACUGUUUUGUUUCUUUCCUUGCACAUUCAGAAGAAUUCACAUUGCAUCAUUCCUUCUGUGAAAUGUUUCUGCCUGCAGUACCAUUACUUACGUAGAAAAAUGUAGGAGGAGUUCAUUUAAAAUCACUGUGCAAAUAUAUGUCCACGUAUGAAUUCCUUCCUGUGCAUAUACAACUACAUCUUUAUUGCUGUCACAAAUAGAAGCAGAGGUAUAACUGCCCUAGCUCCAUUUGGCUGUCCUCCAAAAUUAUGCAGAAAGUCAUUUCUCUUUACAUUGACCUUAAGUGAACUAAAAAACAUGUCCUGGAGCUGGCUGUAUAGGAGCCAUAUGUAUCGUUCAGCAUAUAUUACUAUUUUUCUUACUGUUUUGCUGCAUGUUUGUGGGAG